rnacentral:tRNA from 1 species
GCCGAAGUGGCGGAACUGGUAGACGCGCUAGGUUCAGGGUCUAGUGGGUGUAUUCCUGUGGGAGUUCGAGUCUCCCCUUCGGCACCA